CCCGGGCCUUGUAGNACGCCCGUCACACCACGAAAGCCCGCUGCAACAGAAGUCGGUGCUCCAACCCGCAAGGGGGGAAACCGCCAAAGUUGUGGGUUGGUGAUUGGGGUG
rnacentral:rRNA from 1 species